rnacentral:piRNA from 1 species
UAAAACAGAACAGAAGCCCCUGCCUCAGC